ACUCUCCCCACUCCCUCCUUUUCACUUUCCCCGCUCCCUCCUUUUCACUUUACCCGCUCCAUAAAGCCCUUUCAGUUACCUUUCACCAAAAUUACUCUGGCCAAAAACCUUUUCACCAAAAUUUGUGUUUCUCCAUCGGCAGAUCGUCGGUGUGUUCUUCGUGCAAAUUGCAGUCUCAACCUCACCAGCGUCGCAACCCAUCUAUCUCCGGAAUGCUUCGGAAACCACGAUUCGUUAUCAGGCCUCAAUCUACACCAGGCAAUAUCCUUAAUUGUUUUUGUAGGGAUUAAUACUGAAAGUGGAGCAACACAUAGUUCUCAUAUUUUGACACUAAGUCCAUCCAAUUUAGGCAACGAAUUAAAACAUUCAGCACAUAGAUGUGUUUCUGCAACCAACAAGUCCUUUGGUGGAAGCUGUCGGACCAUCACAAAUUUUUAAUGUUUAGGAUCUGUUAGCCGAUCCUAGAUUUUUUGGGAUUCAGAUGCACGCGUAUGUAAUUUUAACUGCUUUAUUUUCUCUUGGUUUUGUUUUUCAGAUUAACCAGGUUAAAUUUCAGCACAAGAUUGAGAAAGGGAGCGCUCUCGCACUAGGACUUCUUGCCAUCAAGGAUCAGAGUCUAAUUAUAUAGGUUGUUGGUAAAGUUACAAAAGGAUGGCUCCGAACAAGAAGAAUUGGAAAAAAGCAUCUUUCAGUUAUUAAUAAACUUGGAAUUGUGAUCACUGUUAUUAAUUGGAAGUUCUGUUUCUAGUUCUUAUUAUUUUCCUUUUUGUUUGCUAGUGAUAAUAUCAAAUACUAUUUAUUCACUUCUGUAUCUCCUUUUUGGGAUCACUGUUAACCAAGUAACUACCAUUAAGGCUUUUCAGAAAAUGAUCUUUUAAUUGACUGAAUCUGAAUGUUAUUUUAGUUACCACACUAAUAUUCAUCAUUAAUUUUUUACUGUUUUUUCACAGUUCUAUUACUCUCUUUUUUGUACAUCAUAUUAGGGUAUUUAGUGUUGAUAUCUUUAGCCUUUUUAAAUUCUGAAUUCCGUUGUAGAAUAUAUGGUUCUAAUUCCUAGAGACCAUUAAAUAUUCAAGAAAUAUUUGUGACUGAAUGUGGGUUCGGUAUCAGCAACUGCAACCAGUUCAUAU